AUACCCUUUUUUAUUAAUGUAUCUAUACACAUCUUUCGACUACCGUAUUUAUAAACAAGACAUCGCAAACUUAUUCUUUUUUAUCUGAAGUGUACCAACUUAUUCAUACGCUUGUAGUCAAUUUCGCGAGGUUCUAGCCAGUAUUUGCUUGCAGUGAAAACGGCUGUUAAUUCAAUGAUCAACAUACCUUUUAAUCAAGGAUUUGAACCAAUGACCACCUGGUAAGGAGACAGACACUCUUCCCCUGUGCCGCAAGAGGUUCGCCUAUUUUCAAUCAGGUAAUCAAAACAACAUAUGUUACAAGUUAGUUGAAUAUUUGCUGAAGCAAUGAUAAUA
rnacentral:lncRNA from 1 species